rnacentral:rRNA from 1 species
UACGAAGGGGGCUAGCGUUGCUCGGAAUCACUGGGCGUAAAGGGUGCGUAGGCGGGUCUUUAAGUCAGGGGUGAAAUCCUGGAGCUCAACUCCAGAACUGCCUUUGAUACUGAGGAUCUUGAGUACGGGAGAGGUGAGUGGAACUGCGAGUGGAGAGGUGAAAUUCGUAGAUAUUCGCAAGAACACCAGUGGCGAAGGCGGCUCACUGGCCCGUUACUGACGCUGAGGCACGAAAGCGUGGGGAGCAAACAGG